AGAGUUAAGGUUUCCUGGAGGAAGAGGUAUUUCAGAGAAGCUCUGACGGCCGGUGGCUUGGAUCUGGCGUUUGAAAUGGGGAAGUGGGGAAGCCCUUCCACCCGAAACCCCAGCACUGUGUUCUGAGAAUUGUGCUGAGUAUUCAUUACGGAAGAAGAAAAUGUGCAGAAUCCUGGACCUUGCCUUAUAUUUAGUGCAGAGAGAAGCCCCUGGGCCUUUGCACUUUCUGCUCUCACUGCCAGUAAGGCUUUUCUCUCACCACUUCUCAUGACCACUGCCUUACUUUAUACAGGUCCAGUUUACAUGGCAUCUCGGAGAGGACCACAUCAUUAAAAGAGCCUCAUCUACCCUUAUCCCAUUGCCCUCCUUUAUUUGUCUUUAUAACAUUUAUCAUUAUUUAACAUUCUAUUAUCAUUUUUUCCUUGUUUGUCUGUCUCUUAUGCUAGAAUGCAAGCUCCAUGAAGGCAGGAACAAGUAUCUAUCGUGUUCUACACUGUAUACAAACCCAACAUCUAGAACUGCUCUCGGCCCCAUUGUAGGUCUCCAACAUUUGUUGAAUAAAUGAAACAAAUAACACUGUGCGUAUCCAAAACAGUAGAUGACUAAUUCCUUUCCCAAAUGAUUUGCAAAAUUUCGUAUUUAUGUACAUUUUUCUGACAAGAGUUCAUAACUUCUAUCAUGUAUUCAAGGGGGGCAAUAAACUCCUCAAAAAGGUAAGGGCCAUAGUCCUGAGUGAUUAAUAUUGAAAAUAAGUGAAUGUAAGUUCACAGUAAAGAAAAAUAAAUGUGAGCUGCUUUGGUAUCUCCGUAUUUUUCACAGAAUGCCGAGCUCAUUCUGCCACUAAUCUUUGUUCCUGUAGAGCCCACACUGAGAACACGACUCUGUCCUUUCUAAUCUUGUCCAUCCUUCAAAGCUGCCCUGUAAUGUGUUUCUGGAAUCUGCUGUAGGAAGAGACAGAAAGGAGAACAGAUUUGAAUGAACAAUCAAAUGGACUUGUUAAACAUUUGCUAAGCAAAGCAGAAGAGGGAUGGAUCAAAGGUGACCCCAGAGGACACAUCUUGAUGACAGUCACUCAGAAGAUGAUCCUGGAAGACUGCCCUUCCAAACUUCACCCUCAUAACCAAUCUAGAAGGCACCCCAAAUUGUUGGUAUAGAUAAUCCCAGAUUACCUGGAGGUUCCUUAAUUGUUCCCUUGGAUGAUAUGUUGCCUCAAAGACACAAAAAUACUCAUUUCAGCAUAAAAUGAGUUUUUACCCUCUUACCUCAAGAAUCAUACCCACACACUGAUGAGAACAAGGGUGAAAGCCAGCCAAUGCAGGAAUGGCACCUGACUUAGCAAAGUUAAGACUACAGGUCGUACCAAGGCUCAUAUAGUUGGUGGCACCAAGCAUUUAGGAAAAGGGAGUGAGGAGGGGACUGAAAACUGAUGGAAUGGUUGAAAGUCCCUAUAAAGUGCAGUCAGACCCCAGACUCCCAUGCCCAUCAGUCCACCCUAGUCAGAAAUGACAAUCAGAAUCCAAGAGGCUCUGCACCCAAGAACAGCAUACCUGGAGGAGGGCAGGGGAGAAGUGUCCAACAGAAAACUCACAAGGUGAGUCCUCUGGCUCCCUUCCUUGCCCAGCUCCAGAAUGCCAGCACCCUCUGUGUUUUGGAGCCUGGUCUGAGGCCUUCCCUGUGAACAGAUGAACCACCCUAUGUCCUCCCAACGAAUUCCUUUUCUGUUAGUCUGAGUCAGUUUCUAUGCCUGCAACAAGGAACUUUGAUUAAAAUA